GCGGGCGUAGCUCAGUUGGUAGAGCACAACCUUGCCAAGGUUGGGGUCGCGAGUUCGAGUCUCGUCGCCCGCU
rnacentral:tRNA from 1 species